UACGGAGGGUGCAAGCGUUAAUCGGAAUUACUGGGCGUAAAGCGUGCGCAGGCGGUUUGUUAAGUCUGUUGUGAAAUCCCCGAGCUCAACCUGGGAACUGCGUUUGGUACUGGCAAGCUAGAGUACGGCAGAGGGGGGUGGAAUUCCACGUGUAGCAGUGAAAUGCGUAGAGAUGUGGAGGAACACCGAUGGCGAAGGCAGCCCCCUGGGCCGAUACUGACGCUCAGGCACGAAAGCGUGGGGAGCAAACAGG
rnacentral:rRNA from 1 species